rnacentral:rRNA from 1 species
UACGGAGGGGGUUAGCGUUGUUCGGAAUUACUGGGCGUAAAGCGCGCGUAGGCGGACUAGAAAGUUGGGGGUGAAAUCCCGGGGCUCAACCCCGGAACUGCCUCCAAAACUGCUAGUCUAGAGUUCGAGAGAGGUGAGUGGAAUUCCGAGUGUAGAGGUGAAAUCUGUAGAUAUCGGGAGGAACACCAGUAGCGAAGGCGGCUCUCUGGUCUAGACCUGACGCUGAGCUGCGAAAGCUAGGGUAGCAAACAGG